GAUGAACGCUGGCGGCGUGCCUAACACAUGCAAGUCGAACGAAGCACUUCGAUUUCCUCGGAAUGAAAAAGUGACUGAGUGGCGGACGGGUGAGUAACGCGUGGGUAACCUGCCUCAUACAGGGGGAUAACAGUUAGAAAUGGCUGCUAAUACCGCAUAAGCGCACAGUACCGCAUGGUACCGUGUGAAAAACUCCGGUGGUAUGAGAUGGACCCGCGUCUGAUUAGCUAGUUGGUAAGGUAACGGCUUACCAAGGCGACGAUCAGUAGCCGGCCUGAGAGGGUGAUCGGCCACAUUGGGACUGAGACACGGCCCAAAACUCCUACGGGAGGCAGCAGUGGGGAAUAUUGCACAAUGGGGGGAAACCCUGAUGCAGCGACGCCGCGUGAGUGAAGAAGUAUUUCGGAUGUAAAGCGUCUAUCAGCAGGGAAGAAAAUGACGGUACCUGACUAAGAAGCCCCGGCUAACUACGUG
rnacentral:rRNA from 1 species